CAACAAUAGCAAAACCACCCCAUACCUACAACACCGCUCAACGCACCACAAUAACACCACUAUAUCGUCAUCUGAACUUGUGUAAAACCACCAUAGUCGUCACUUGCUUGCGCAGCAACGAUCUCAAAUCAUCCCAAACCACCUGAAAACACAGCUCCAUCUUAGAUAUAAACCACAAUCAACCCCAAACCUCCCAAAAUCACCCCAAAAUCGUGCACAGUGGUGAGCAACAGAUGAAUCUACGUCGAAGCCACCUCUUUUCCUGAUAUUCGCACCAUCACAAGAGCUACCACAAUUCUUCCUCUUGCUACUAGACAAAUCUACGCUAGAGCCACCACUUCUUCCUAUAUUCACCACUGAGCGUGCGGGGUUGCACAGCGACGAUCUGUGCGAGACGCUAAUCGCCGCUUCUUAGCACAGUGUGACUGCGAGUG
rnacentral:lncRNA from 1 species